rnacentral:rRNA from 1 species
GACGAACGCUGGCGGCGUGCCUAAUACAUGCAAGUUGAGCGCUGAAGGUUGGUACUUGUACCGACUGGAUGAGCAGCGAACGGGUGAGUAACGCGUGGGGAAUCUGCCUUUGAGCGGGGGACAACAUUUGGAAACGAAUGCUAAUACCGCAUAAAAACUUUAAACACAAGUUUUAAGUUUGAAAGAUGCAAUUGCAUCACUCAAAGAUGAUCCCGCGUUGUAUUAGCUAGUUGGUGAGGUAAAGGCUCACCAAGGCGAUGAUACAUAGCCGACCUGAGAGGGUGAUCGGCCACAUUGGGACUGAGACACGGUCCAGACUCCUACGGGAGGCAGCAGUGGGGAAUAUUGCACAAUGGGCGCAAGCCUGAUGCAGCCAUGCCGCGUGUAUGAAGAAGGCCUUCGGGUUGUAAAGUACUUUCAGCGGGGAGGAAGGCGGUGAAGUUAAUAACUUCACCGAUUGACGUUACCCGCAGAAGAAGCACCGGCUAACUCCGUGCCAGCCGCCGCCGUAA